GUGAGGAAGAAUAAUUCCUUCCUGGUCAAGCAGUUCGGGAACAGCAAUGCCAAGGUUCAGUUCAGCAAGGAGCCCAACAACCUCUACAAUGUCCACUCCUACAAGUACUCUGGUUAGUGUUUAUUUCCCAGCUUGUUCAUUUGAAUUGCGGAUGCCAUCAGUGGCACUGUUUAAUUGCAGGAUUGGUUUCUUUACAGGCCUUGCCAACAAGAAGACCGUGACAGUGCAACCGGCCAGUGGCAAGGAGAUGGCGGUGGUCCUCUCCACAACCAAGACAAAGAAGCAGAACAAGCCUGCCAGCCUCUACCACAAGUCUGUCAUGCGCAAGGAAUUCCGCAAGAUGGCCAAGGCUGUCAAGAACCAGGUAUAGAACAAUUACAUGUGUCAUUGUUCUCCUAUGAUGUUUUGCUCCGGUGAGGGGUGUGUUUUUUUAAAAAAAAUAAUUGUGGGUGAGCAAUUAGAAAUUGUUGUGAUUAUCCUUAUCAUGUAACAAAUUCACAUGUCUGGGUCAUCAAUUAAAUACACUCGUUACGCAUUGUUGAAUAGAGUUUGCCAUAAUUGUCAUGGUCCUCUUGACCUGUUGUUUCAAGUUGGAGGACUGCACAUGCUUGUCAUACCAUGAAUCUUUUUUUGUCCUUGGUUCACAUUUGUAGCUGUUUCUAAACUAUUAGGUACUCGCCAACCUAUAAAACUGUAUUCUAGAUUAGUAAUAGUAUCAUGUGAGAAUCAUUUCUGAGAACCCUGCUUGCCCUUGUGGAUAUAACAAUUUAUAAACAG
rnacentral:lncRNA from 1 species